AACCUUUUAGUAUAAUUUAUUAUAUUUAAUUGCAGAUUAAGAGAUUUCAAGGUUU
rnacentral:tRNA from 1 species